rnacentral:rRNA from 1 species
ACGAAGGGGGCUAGCGUUGCUCGGAAUUACUGGGCGUAAAGCGCACGUAGGCGGCUUUCUAAGUCGGGGGUGAAAUCCUGGAGCUCAACUCCAGAACUGCCUUCGAUACUGGAAAGCUCGAGUCCGGGAGAGGUGAGUGGAACUGCGAGUGUAGAGGUGAAAUUCGUAGAUAUUCGCAAGAACACCAGUGGCGAAGGCGGCUCACUGGCCCGGUACUGACGCUGAGGUGCGAAAGCGUGGGGAGCAAACAGGA